GUUAACCACAAAACCACAGCUUCAGGGUGGUUAACCAGGGGCACACAUCUCAGGUAGGGUGGUCGGUCGUUCGGUAGUUGGUUUGUCAUUUAAUUCAGUACCCCGUUCAACUCUCACAUGAACGGUGACCACCCAUUCUACGAUCUUUUAGGUUGCGGUUAACCACAAAACCACAACUCCUGGGUGGUUAAUGGGGACACAUUCCUCAAGUAGGGUGGACCGUUCGACAGUUUGUUCGGUAUUCUGAGAGGUGAAUGGUGUUAAUUGGCAGCACACAACAGGGGCCGGGUGGUCGGCCAUUCGUAUGUUUCUUCAGGAAAAAGCAAAAAAAGUUGCAACAAAAUAACAGGGUUGUAGCAGACAGAUGGGACUUUGUAAAAAAUACCAACUGCCUUUUAGGUAUCUGCGCUGCCCCACUCCCCGCUCCCCCAGUCACCUGGUAUAAUAAACCCUUUUCCCACUCAAAUCUUUCCUGGGCUAUAUCUCCUUGGGGGCACACUGCCUCCCUCCUAUACCCUUCUAAUUUAGGGGGCUCCCUCUGCUCUUGUUCAAAACCAUGUGGAGUGCCCCAAAAUGGGAGGGGGGCUUCAGUUAAGGGAGGGACAGACUGUCCUACCUGAGGGUUCUCGGAGUGCGAUGGCUCCCCCCGGCGGGCUUGCGAUCUGGUGGUCACCAGGUACGUUUCCUCUGGGCAGGGCUGGGCAAGCUGGGAGGUCAGGCAGCCCAGAUCGUUUCCCAGUAACACCUCGGCCGGUAGUUCCUUCACGAUGUCCACCUCCAAAUGCAUGGUUUCCGAGCCCCAGUUGAGGUGCACUCGGGUCGUGGGGAAGUUAUGUAUGGCUCCUCCCGCCACCCUCACAGCUACCAUUUUGUUG